rnacentral:rRNA from 1 species
GAGUUUGAUCCUGGCUCAGAACGAACGCUGGCGGCAGGCUUAACACAUGCAAGUCGAGCGCCCCGCAAGGGGAGCGGCAGACGGGUGAGUAACGCGUGGGAAUCUACCCUUUUCUACGGAAUAACGCAGGGAAACUUGUGCUAAUACCGUAUGAGCCCUUCGGGGGAAAGAUUUAUCGGGAAAGGAUGAGCCCGCGUUGGAUUAGCUAGUUGGUGGGGUAAAGGCCUACCAAGGCGACGAUCCAUAGCUGGUCUGAGAGGAUGAUCAGCCACAUUGGGACUGAGACACGGCCCAAACUCCUACGGGAGGCAGCAGUGGGGAAUAUUGGACAAUGGGCGCAAGCCUGAUCCAGCCAUGCCGCGUGAGUGAUGAAGGCCCUAGGGUUGUAAAGCUCUUUCACCGGUGAAGAUAAUGACGGUAACCGGAGAAGAAGCCCCGGCUAACUUCGUGCCAGCAGCCGCGGUAAUACGAAGGGGGCUAGCGUUGUUCGGAAUUACUGGGCGUAAAGCGCACGUAGGCGGAUUGUUAAGUGAGGGGUGAAAUCCCAGGGCUCAACCCUGGAACUGCCUUUCAUACUGGCAAUCUAGAGUCCAGAAGAGGUGAGUGGAAUUCCGAGUGUAGAGGUGAAAUUCGUAGAUAUUCGGAGGAACACCAGUGGCGAAGGCGGCUCACUGGUCUGGAACUGACGCUGA